UACAGAGGUCUCAAGCGUUGUUCGGAUUCAUUGGGCGUAAAGGGUGUGUAGGUGGCGCCGUAAGUCGGGUGUGAAAUUUCGGAGCUUAACUCCGAAACUGCAUUCGAUACUGCGGUGCUUGAGGACUGGAGAGGAGACUGGAAUUCAUGGUGUAGCAGUGAAAUGCGUAGAGAUCAGGAGGAACACCGGUGGCGAAGGCGCCACUCUGGGCCAAACUGACGCUGAGGAGCGAAAGCGUGGGUAGCAAACAGGA
rnacentral:rRNA from 1 species